rnacentral:lncRNA from 1 species
AAAUUAGAGUGACACUACUGGCACCCCUCUAUUUUUCUUAUAAAACUGCUCUUGUUAUGCAUUUAAAGUUUUAUCCCUUAUAUUCUAAAUUGAAUUAGAUGUAAAAUCUUAUCUAAUUAAAUUCACAUAUGAUUUUUAUCUCUGAAAAUUUUCUUCACUAAAAGCUCUUAAAACUUACAAUUUUCUUUUUUAAGAAAAAGGUUAAUUGUAAAAGAGUAAGAAUUUGGUAUAGAUUAACUUUUUUGACUUAACAAUUUAUUUUUGUAGGAAAGAUAAUUUUGUAAAGGAAAAUUAUCAUUCGUAUACCUUAAAUGUGCGUUUUUAUAAAAAAUACUACAAUACUUUAAGGGUGUAUCAAUCGUCCACCUUAAAUUCACAAAAGUUAUCUGCCGACCACUAAACCAUUAGCUGCCGUUUGAAAGUUAACGGAACUAUAGUGAAUGGACGAUUUUAUCCUUAAAAGUUAUCACUUGUAUACCGUUAAAAUCUUUUAUUAUCACAUAUAUACCCUUAAAUUAUCACUUAUAUCAUAUGAAAAGACCAGAUUACCCUUCGGACAUCAUCAUGUUUAAACGGUAACUAACGGUUUGGUGGACGGCAGAUAUAUUUUGUCAACUUAGGCUGGACGACUGAUAUACCCUGAAAGUGUUGUAAUAAAUUUAAUAUCGGAAUAAACUAAGAGUAUACGAUUGAUAAUUUCCCUUUUGUAAAAGUUUCAUAAAUUCCUAAUAAGUUUAUUAGAAUUCUAGGGGAUAACUAAGCCUUGUGUGUAUUUUAUACAUAUUUAUUUUGAAAUGGAAUGUCAUAAACUAAAAAAGAAUAUAACUAAAACAAAUAGAAAAUUUGUAAUAAAUUUAAGCGCAUGGGACAAAAUAUUGGGCUGUUAUCAGUAGUCAUCGCUACAAAAAAGAAGGAACUUAAAGUGGGGGUGGUUGACGAGAAAGAACUAAAAGGGGGUUCAAAGUGAAGAAGGAGACCAUCUGACAUGGGCCUAUGGAGGAAACAAAAGACAAAUAUUAGCUAAUGGAGGGGUAUUAAUAGCACCACUCAUAAAAUUAAUGUCAAUGAAUAGUUACAAAAAGAUAGAAGUUACGGCCAUCAAUGUAAACAUAAAUAAUGUAAUUAGAAAACUUUGCCUUCCACGAAAAGACUUGGGCAGUGUUUGGGACAGCUAUGUUUCCACAACAUAGCUGCUCCAACCCUUAUGUCCUAGAAAAAUUUUCUUCAAAUAUAAGAGUGAAGCAGCUUCGGUGUGGUGGUGUAGUUUCCCCAAACGCAUCCUUGGUGGUAAAAAAAUUAUACUCCAAUUAAUACUUGUCACAAAAAAAAUUGUAAU